GCCAGCCACCAUCUGGUCCCUGGGCAUCCUGCUCUAUCACCUGCUCUGCGGGCACCUUCCUUUCCACACAAACGAGGACAUCGUCCGGGGCCAGCUCUUCUUCCCGCCCGGGGGUCUCAAGAGUGCCAGCACCUCAUCAGGUGGUGUUUAUCCAUGGACCCCGCAGACAGGCCAUCACUGGAAGACCUUUUUGAGCAUUCUUGGCUGCAGGAGCCCUGCCUGGCCCAGGAGACAGCAGAGAUCCAUCCCUGUGCUCAGUAGGAUCCAGGAGCCCAGCAAGUACCAGCUGCACGCGUCUGGUGGCACUCCAAGAAAACCCCGGAGCGUUUCCCUGUGGCCCCGGCACGGAGGAGAGAGCGCAGCCGAGGAGAUGCUUCCGCUGGUCCCCGGCGAGUUGUGGAGGGAGCGGCUCAGUACUCCCCGUGCCACUGGAGAAGUGGUGGCAGUGCGGUGAAGGUGCCACAGACUGGAACAGGGGAAACAUCCCCCUGCAGCUCAAUGGCAUCGGGAUGUCCCCGCAAGGCGAGGCACAGCUGGCGUGUUCUUCUGGAGCACCACGUGGAGCUGGGAACACCAUCCUGGAGCUGGCCGCUGGCGGGGCAAAGCCGAGCGGCUUUGGCUGCGGCCCCUUCCUGGAGGACACGCUCUGCGCCCCGAUGAAAUCAAGAUGAGUCCCCAGCCGGCGCAGGGGCGGGGGGAUGCUCGUGCUUCCAGGCAUGGCAGGGCUCGGCCUGGCCACGCGCCACAGGUUCCCCGCUCGGCGGCGCUGGGGAAUAUUAAUUUUUCCCCUGGCUGCCGAGCUGCUUUUUGGUGGGACAGGGGACGGAUGUUGUGGAAGGGGAGCCGGCUCCUGGCCUUGCUGACCGCUUCUGCCAGCCAGCCUGGCACGGGCUGGGGCGGGGGCAGCCAGCCUGACAAAGCAUCCAUCCAUGUGGAUGGGGGCAGCAGAGGGGGACGGGUUCUGAAGCCGUGCCCCAGCUGGUCUGCUUUGCAGGCCCUCGAGGAAGGGGUGCGUUUACGGGCGGGAAAGGUGGGGUUUUUCCCCAUCCAUGGACAGGUUUCAUUCUCACAUGGAGUGGUCAGACCCUCCUCAGGCCCGUGAAACGGUGACAGGCUUUGUAGCAUCUUCUUGUUUCCAGGUCUUGUUUUGAAUUGACUUUCAUGCAAUUGUUCUUUGUUUUUCCCAGGAAGAUUACACCUGGUGCCCAUACUGGAUGGGGAAGCGCCUGCACCGUCCGUGGAGCACAUCCAGCGCCAGCGCUAUCCCAGGGGCCACGGCCUGCGGGGACAUCCCCUUCAAGAUGGACGAGGACCUCGUGCGGGAUCGGCUCCUCUCCUGGCAGCAGGUCUGCAGAGGUGGGUACCCGGCUCCACAGCUGGGCUGGCAGAAGGGCUUCGGGCAGAGGGCAGCGGGCACACGGGCAUCCCGCCCUUGCAGCUGCUGAGGAGGCUGCUGUGCUGUGCUGAAGCGGAGGAGGUGGAACGUGGCCUGCCACGCUGCCCUUCUCUCGAAACAGAGAAUGGCUCGGGAGGUUUGGGCUCUGAGCACAGCCAGCAGCCUGGCCCAGGCACAGGCCAUGGCAGGACAGGGCACAGGAGCCUUCUGUGACUGACCGUGGCUCUCUGGUUUCUCUCUGCAGGCUGCCAGCACCUCAUGCCAUGGAAACGGCUCCGCUCGGCCUGCCAGGCUGGGAGGGCUGGAGGGCGGCGGGUGUUCAUUUGCUGUCAGAAAUAAAUCGUUCUAUUUUUUUGUCA